GUGGGGAAUAUUGCACAAUGGGGGAAACCCUGAUGCAGCAACGCCGCGUGAGUGAAGAAGUCAUUCGUGAUGUAAAGCUCUAUCAGCAGGGAAGAAAAUGACGGUACCUGAGUAAGAAGCCCCGGCUAACUACGUGCCAGCAGCCGCGGUAAUACGUAGGGGGCAAGCGUUAUCCGGAUUUACUGGGUGUAAAGGGAGCGUAGACGGCCAGACAAGUCUGAAGUGAAAAUCCAGCGCUUAACGUUGGAAGUGCUUUGGAAACUGCCGGGCUAGAGUGCAGGAGGGGCAGGCGGAAUUCCUAGUGUAGCGGUGAAAUGCGUAGAUAUUAGGAGGAACACCAGUGGCGAAGGCGGCCUGCUGGACUGCAACUGACGUUGAGGCUCGAAGGCGUGGGGAGCAAACAGGAUUAGAAACCCGAGUAGUCC
rnacentral:rRNA from 1 species